UACGUAGGGUGCAAGCGUUGUCCGGAAUUAUUGGGCGUAAAGGGCUCGUAGGCGGUCCGUCACGUCGGGAGUGAAAACUUGGGGCUUAACCCCAAGCCUGCUUCCGAUACGGGCGGACUAGAGGUAGGCAGGGGGAGAACGGAAUUCCUGGUGUAGCGGUGAAAUGACGCAGAUAUCAGGAGGAACACCGGUGGCGAAGGCGGUUCUCUGGGCCUUACCUGACGCUGAGGCACGAAGGCCAGGGGAGCAAACGGG
rnacentral:rRNA from 1 species